CAGGCAAGAAAGUGAAGGUUAAGCAUUUAUUUUGGGAUUUUUGAUGAUUCGUAACCAUUCCCUCUGGGGUGUGCAGCCAGCAAGUUCGACGGUGGAUUUGUUCGGACGUAAGGAGCAACAAGUGCUCAGAAGGAAAGAAUAAAUUCAUCUGUGAUGAUAAAGAA